rnacentral:rRNA from 1 species
UACGAAGGGUGCAAACGUUGCUCGGAAUCAUUGGGCGUAAAGCGCACGUAGGCGGCUUCAAAAGUCGGAUGUGAAAUCCCGUGGCUCAACCAUGGACGUGCAUUCGAAACUGCGAAGCUUGAGUAUGGAAGAGGGUCGCGGAAUUCCCGGUGUAGAGGUGAAAUUCGUAGAUAUCGGGAGGAACACCAGUGGCGAAGGCGGCGACCUGGGCCAACACUGACGCUGAGGUGCGAAAGCGUGGGGAGCAAACAGG